UACGUAGGUGGCAAGCGUUGUCCGGAUUUAUUGGGCGUAAAGCGAGCGCAGGCGGAAGAGUAAGUCUGAUGUGAAAGCCCUCGGCUUAACCGAGGAACUGCAUCGGAAACUGUUUUUCUUGAGUGCAGAAGAGGAGAGUGGAACUCCAUGUGUAGCGGUGGAAUGCGUAGAUAUAUGGAGGAACACCAGUGGCGAAGGCGGCUCUCUGGUCUGCAACUGACGCUGAGGCUCGAAAGCAUGGGUAGCGAACAGG
rnacentral:rRNA from 1 species